AAGCGCAAAUUCAAAUAUUAUAAAGCCUGUCGAGCUUGCCGACGCUACGAAGUUACAGCGUCGUAAGGUGGACAUCGACCCGCCAGAUUUCCAUUGAAAAUGCAAUGACCUUUUUCCGUUCGGCUUUGCGCACUCCUACCGAAUUUCGGGGAGAGAGAUGACUGGACUCUGAAUAGUCCGUUGGAAGAGAUGCUGCAAGGCACUAAUAAUCGGGUGCACAAUUGCGAGAGUUUGGUGGUCGUGAAAUUGGGUGUCGUCCAAGUUCGCGACUUCCCGGGCAAAGGUCACAAUCUAGCGGCUAUCUGAGGAAUUCCUCAGCUUUGAUCGUCCACUUCGAAUCGAUCUGUGGAAGAGGCAAGAGUGGUCGGUGUUUUGUCUCGUGUCGUGGUGUGAUUAAAAAGUAGUGUUAGCUUAGUGUAAAACCCUAGCAAGCUAGUUAGUAGGCGGCAAAGUGUGUGUCUCGAAGAAAGUACAAGGUUCGUGGCAGCGGAGGCCAUUUGCCGUCACACCACCCUAUUGUCAGAGACCGCUUUUGACCCCACCUAUCGGUUUCGGAGGAUUCCCGGGGCACACG